rnacentral:rRNA from 1 species
GAUCCUGGCUUAGAACGAACGCUGGCAGCGUGGAUUAGGCAUGCAAGUCGAACGGGAUCGGGAAGGUAGCAAUAUCGGCCCGUGAGAGUGGCGGAAGGGCGAGGAACACGUGAGCAACCUGUCCUUGAGGUGGGGAAAACCGUUGGAAACGACGGCUAAUACCGAAUGCGGCGCCCGGAGACAUCUCCGGCGCGCUAAAGGGGGCCGCAAGGCUCCCCCUCUUCGAGGGGCUCGCGCACCAUCAGCUUGUUGGCGGGGUAACGGCCCACCAAGGCUCACGGUUAGCUGGUCUGAGAGGAUGGCCAGCCGCACUGGGACUGAGAUACUGCCCAGACUCCUACGGGAGGCUGCAGUCGAGGAUCAUUCGCAAUGGGGGAAACCCUGACGAUGCGACGCUGCGUGGAGGAUGAAGGCCCUCGGGUCGUAAACUCCUGUCAUGGGGGAAAAGGAGAGGGGACCCAACACGUCCCUUAUUUGAUGGUACCCCAAGAGGAACGGGCGGCUAACUCUGUGCCAGCAGCAGC